UGGAGUCACUAAAUCAUGAAGCUUUUCCUCAUUAAUUAUCCUACAGUUUGUAUUCACCACAGUGGUUGUUAAUUGUACAGUCUCAUCACUAAACCAGAUGGUGUAAUGAUGGAUUUGUGAUAUAGAUGCACUGUACUGGUUAUUCAUUUUACUUUCCAGUGAAGCAGACAGUGGUUUUCCUGGAUAAUUAUUACACAAUCACCAUACUCUCUUAACUGUACUGCCUUGUCCCUAAACCAGAUGACAUCUUUCCUGAAUCAGUUCACCCUUUCUGGUUGUCAGUUGUGUAGUCUCAUCCCUGAACCAGACAGUUCCUGUCCACAGUGAUGACCGUAUAUAUUCACUGUGCUGGUUCCUGAUUUACUGGUAUAGUCACUCACCCAGACACAGGUUUUCCAGAAUAAUUGUGAUAUAACUGCCACACUGGUUGCUAGUUGUCCGACUAGGGACACUAAACCGGACAAACCAGCUGUGCUUUUCCUGAAUAAUUGUUUAUAUCCCAUACUGGUGGGUAAUUGUGGUUUUUAGUCAGUGAAACCAGAUGGUCUUAUUCCUGAAUUUUUCACCGUACUGGUUGUUAAUUGUACUGUCUCGUCACUAAACCAGAUGGUGUUUUUCAUGAAUGCCUUUUUAUAUCUUCACUGUAGUGGUUGUUAACUUUAAUUUCUAGUAACUAGUUCUAGUUACUUCGCCUGCCUGCUGGAGCCUGUGAGGGUGACGAUGAUGAUGAAGAGCUGCUGGUGCCCCUGGUCCAGGUGGAGAUCUGGAGCCCCAAGAGGACUCCUCCUGAUUUCUCUCAAAAGCGUGAGCAACAUCACAGCGGGCUGGAUGAGGAGUUCAGAUGCAGGUUGGAUGCUCUCUGCUGUAUUAACUCCCAGAUUUUCCAGGAUGUCCAGAGGCCGACAGUGGGAAGACGGGUAUGAAUUAGUUGGGAUGCAUGUUGGAUGGUCUCUCCUGUAUUAUUUUCCAGGAUGUCCAGGAGCUGGCAGUGGGAAGAUAGGUCAGAAAGUGUCUCCUGCAUUCUUUUCCCCAGUUUUCCAGAGGCCGACAGUGGAAAGACAAGUAUGGAUUAGUUGGGAUGCAUGUUGGAUGAUCCCUCCUGUAUCAUUUUCCAGGAUGUCCAGAGGCUACCAGUGGGAAGAUGGGUUAGAUGGUUUCUCCUGCAUUCUUUUCCCCAGUUUUCCAGAGGCUGACAGUGGGAAGACAGGCAUCAAUUAGUUGGGAUGCAUGUUGGAUGGUCUCUCCUGUAUUAUUUUCCAGGAUGUCCAGGAGCUGGCAGUGGGAGGAUAGGUCAGAAGGUGUCUCCUGCAUUCUUUUCCCCAGUUUUCCAGAGGCCGACAGUGGGAACACAGGUGUGGAUUAGUUGGGAUGUGAGUUGUAUGAUCUCUCCUGUAUUAUUUUCCAGGAUUUCCAGAAUCUGACAGUGGAUAGACAGGUAUGGAUACAGGUUAGAUGGUCUCUCCUGUAUUAUUUUCCAGGAUGUCUAGAGGCUGGCAGUGGGAAGACCGGUAUGGAUGCAGCUUACCGUCUAAGGAUGGGCUCUCAUGUAAUCUUUUUUUUCCCCUACUUAUCCAGGAUGUCCAGUGGCUGACAGUGGGAAGAUAAGUAUGGAUUAGUUGGGAUGCAUGUUGGAUGAUCCCUCCUGUAUCAUUUUCCAGGAUGUCCAGAGGCUGGCAGUGGGAAGAUGGGUUAGAUGGUUUCUCCUGCAUUCUUUUCCCCAGUUUUCCAGAGGCCGACAGUGGGAAGACAGGUGUGGAUUAGUUGGGAUGUGAGUUGUAUGAUCUCUCCUGUAUUUUCCAGGAUUUCCAGAAUCUGACAGUGGAUAGACAGGUAUGGAUACAGGUUAGAUGGUCUCUCCUGUAUUAUUUUCCGGGAUGUCUAGAGGCUGGCAGUGGGAAGAUGGGUUAGAUGGUGUCUCCUGCAUUCUUUUCCCCAGUUUUCCAGAGGCUGACGGUGAGGAGAUGGGUAUGGAUUAGUUGGGAUGUGAGUUAAAUUCUUUCCUGUAUUUUCCCUACUUUUCCAGGAUAUCCAGAGGCUGACAGUGGGAAGACAGGUGUGGAUUAGUUGGGAUGCAUGUUGGAUGAUCUCUCCUGUAUUAUUUUCCCUAAUUUUCCAGGAUAUCCAGAAUCUGACAGUGGGAAGACCAGUAUGGAUGCAGGUUAGAUGGUCUCUCGUGUAAUCUCUUUCCCUAAUUUUCCAGGAUGUCCAGGAACUGGCAGUGGGAAGAUGGGUUAGAUGGUGUCUCCUGCAUUCUUUUCCCCAGUUUUCCAGAGGCUGACAGUGGGAAGACAGGCAUCAAUUAGUUGGGAUGCAUGCUGGAUGAUCUCUCCUGUACUAUUUUCCAGGAUAUCCAGGAGCUGGAAGUGGGAAGAUGGGUUAGAUGGCGUCUCCUGCAUUCUUUUCCCCAGUUUUCCAGAGGCUGACAGUGGGAAGGCAGGUAUGGAUGCAGGUUAGAUGGUCUCUCAUGUAAUCUUUUUCCCGAAGUUUCCGGGAUGUCUAGAGGCUGGCAGUGGGAAGACUGGUAUGGAUGCAGCUUACCGUCUAAGGAUGGUCUCUCAUGUAAUCUUUUUUUCCCUACUUAUCCGGGAUGUCCAGAGGCUGGCAGUGGGAAGACGGGUGUGGAUUAGUUGGGAUGCAUGUUGGAUGAUCUCUCCUGUAUUAUUUUCCAGGAUAUCCAGGAGCUGGAAGUGGGAAGAUGGGUUAGAUGGUGUCUCCUGCAUUCUUUUCCCCAGUUUUCCAGAGGCUGACAGUGGGAAGACGGGUAUGGAUUAGUUGGGAUGCAUGUUGGAUGAUCUCUCCUGUAUUAUUUUCCAGGAUGUCCAGGAGCUGGCAGUGGGAAGAUGGGUUAGAUGGUGUCUCCUGCAAUCUCUUCCCCAGUUUUCCAGUGGGAAGACAGGUGUGGGUUAGUUGGGAUGCGAGUUGUAUGAUCUCUCCUGUAUUUUCCAGGACGACCAGAAGCUGACAGUGGAAAGACAGGUAUACUUACUGAUUGGAUUCUCUCCUGUAUUUUCCAGGAUGCCCACAGGCUGACAGUGGGAAGACGGGUGUGGACGGGGAGUUGGGAGGGAGGUUGGAUGCUCUCUGCUGUCUGUAUUUCUUCCUCUGUGGCGUCUCUCUGCUCGUCUUUCUCUCAGUCCAGCUGCAUGUGGUUUGUGAAACAGCAGCUUCGCAGUGCUGAGCUGGGAUUAGGACUGGUGGGUUGCAGAGUUCAGGGUUCGAUUCCAGAGGGGGACACAGCUCUUGUAUCCCAGAGACAGGUACUUAAAUUUCUGUUCUGAUAUGUUUUAUUAUAGUGUAUUGUAGACAGUGUAGUAUUGACAAUGGUGUGCUGACGUCUCAUGAAGGCUGUAACUUAAUACUCGCAUUCAGUGACACAGUUAAAUGCUCACCUGUACUGAGCUUUAAUACUCAACACACCUGUGUGCUGAACUAAAACCUUUAUUCUGCUUCAGUACUCAACCCUGUGUGCUCAGCUCUCACCUGUACUGUAGUUUAAUACUCAGACACAUCUGUGUACUGAUUCUUGAACUGUACUGUGCUUUAGUAAUCAGGAACAGAUGUGCUGAAUUAUCGCCUAUAUUGAGCUGCAAUGAUGACACUUGUGUGAAAAACUCUAAUAUGGACAGUUUUAACACUCAAACCUGUGUACUGAACUCUGUACGCUGUACUCUAAUACUCCAUGACACAUCUGUAGUCUCAACUGUACUGUUUUAAUACUCAAUGACAAGCCAGUAUUCUGAACCCUUGUAGUGUACUAUAAUACUCAUACCUGGACUGAACUCUCUCCUACACUGAGCUUUAAUACUCCUUGACAUACCUGUGUGCUGAACUGUAUUAUGCUUUAGUAUUUGAACCUGAGUGCUGAACUGUUGCCUGUAGUGUUGUUGUACUCAAACUUGUGAACUGGACUCUCGGCUGUACUGAGUUUUAAUACUCUGACACACCUGUGUGACGAACUCUAAUACGUGCAGUUAUACUAACUGAGCAAUGACAUCUGUACUGAGCUUGAAUACUCAAUGACAAAACAGUAUUUUGAACCCCCACCUGUGGUGUACCUUAAUUCUCAAACCUGUGUAUUUAGCUUUAAUACUUAGUGACACCCUUGACUGUACUGCACUUUAAUACUCAAUGACAAACCAGUAUUCUCAGCUCUUGUCUGUAGUGCACUUUAAUAAUCAAACUUGUGUGCUGAACUCUCUCCUAUAAUGCUUAAAUGUAAUACUGACACACCUGUGAGCUGGACUGCAUUGUGUUCAAGUAUUCGAUUCUGAGUGCUGAACUGUUGCCUGCAGUGUGUUGUAGUAGUUAAAACUCUGUACUGAACUCUCAGCUGUACUGAGCUUGAAUACUCUGCCACACUUGAGAACUCUAAUAUGUACAGUCGUACUGAACUCUGUACACUGUACUAUAAUACUCAGACACAUCUGUGUACUGGAUUCACAACUGCACGGUGCUUGAAUAAUUAAUGACAGUGUGAGCGAUGUGUUGUGCUGUUUUAAUACUUGAUGACAAACGGUAUUCUGAACCCUUGCCUUUAGUGUAAUACUGUACUCCAUAACCCACCAGUGUGGUGAAGUCUCACCUGUUUAAUACUUCGCCUGUAAUAUGGUCUAAUUCUCAAACCUGUGCGCUGAACUCAUAACUUGGAGACUAGGUAUUCAAUCUUGGUAACAAAAUGAAUUUUACAGUUUUCGUAUUAAGUGCAGCUUUGUGUAGUGCUGUUUGUUGGCCA
rnacentral:lncRNA from 1 species